GAUGAAGAACGCAGCAAAAUGCGAUACUUGGUGUGAAUUGCAGAAUCCCGUGAACCAUCGAGUUUUUGAACGCAAGUUGCGCCCGAAGCCUUUUGGCCGAGGGCACGUCUGCCUGGGCGUCACGCAUCGCGUCGCCCCCCACAAUUCUCCGUAAAGGGAACAUGUGUUUUGGGGGCGGAUAUUGGUCUCCCGUGCUCAUGGCGUGGUUGGCCGAAAUAGGAGUCCUUUCGAUGGACGCACGAACUAGUGGUGGUCGUAAAAACCCUCGUCUUUUGUUUCGUGCUGUUGCUCGCAAGGUAAACUCUUUAAAAACCCCAAUGUGUCGUCUCUUGACGACGCUUCGACCGCGACCCCAGGUCAGGCGGGACUACCCGCUGAACUUAAGCAUAUCAAUAAGCGGAGGA
rnacentral:misc_RNA from 1 species